rnacentral:rRNA from 1 species
AUUGAACGCUGGCGGCAGGCCUAACACAUGCCAGUCGAGCGGAUGAAGGGAGCUUGCUCCUGGAUUCAGCGGCGGACGGGUGAGUAAUGCCUAGGAAUCUGCCUGGUAGUGGGGGAUAACGUCCGGAAACGGGCGCUAAUACCGCAUACGUCCUGAGGGAGAAAGUUGGGGAUCUUCGGACCUCACGCGAUCAGAUGAGCCUAGGUCGGAUUAGCUAGUUGGUGGGGUAAAGGCCUACCAAGGCGACGAUCCGUAACUGGUCUGAGAGGAUGAUCAGUCACACUGGAGCUGAGACACGGUCCAGACACUUAGGGGAGGCAGCAGUGGGGAAUAUUGGAAGAUGGGCGAAAGACUGCUCCAGCCAUGCCGCGUGUGUGAAGAAGGUCUUCGGAUUGUAAAGCACUUUAAGUUGGGAGGAAGGGCAGUAAGUUAAUACCUGGCUGUUUGGACGUUACCAACAGAAUAAGCACCGGCUACUUUCGU